rnacentral:rRNA from 1 species
GAUGAACGCUGGCGGCGUGCCUAAUACAUGCAAGUCGAGCGAACAGACGAGGAGCUUGCUCCUCUGACGUUAGCGGCGGACGGGUGAGUAACACGUGGAUAACCUACCUAUAAGACUGGGAUAACUUCGGGAAACCGGAGCUAAUACCGGAUAAUAUAUUGAACCGCAUGGUUCAAUAGUGAAAGACGGUUUUGCUGUCACUUAUAGAUGGAUCCGCGCCGCAUUAGCUAGUUGGUAAGGUAACGGCUUACCAAGGCAACGAUGCGUAGCCGACCUGAGAGGGUGAUCGGCCACACUGGAACUGAGACACGGUCCAGACUCCUACGGGAGGCAGCAGUAGGGAAUCUUCCGCAAUGGGCGAAAGCCUGACGGAGCAACGCCGCGUGAGUGAUGAAGGUCUUCGGAUCGUAAAACUCUGUUAUUAGGGAAGAACAAAUGUGUAAGUAACUUUGCACGUCUUGACGGUACCUAAUCAGAAAGCCACGGCUAACUACGU